AUUUAAUCCCCAAAACAAUCCUGUGAGGUAGGUUAGGCUGAGAGAGGCAGGGAUGGGCGACCUUGGGCCAGUCCCUGCCUCUCUCAGCCUAACCUACCUCACAGGAUUGUUUGGGGGAUUAAAUGA